CAGUAGCCGCGGGAAUACGUAGGGUGCAAGCGUUAAUCGGAAUUACUGGGCGUAAAGCGUGCGCAGGCGGUUAUAUAAGUCAGAUGUGAAAUCCCCGGGCUCAACCUGGGAACUGCAUUUGAGACUGUAUGGCUAGAGUGUGUCAGAGGGGGGUAGAAUUCCACGUGUAGCAGUGAAAUGCGUAGAUAUGUGGAGGAAUACCGAUGGCGAAGGCAGCCCCCUGGGAUAACACUGACGCUCAUGCACGAAAGCGUGGGGAGCAAACAGGAUUAGAGACCCCCGUAGUCCCUGUCUCUUAUAC
rnacentral:rRNA from 1 species